rnacentral:rRNA from 1 species
CGGCGUAAAGCGUGUUUAAGAAAAUUAAUAUAAAUAGAGUCGAAGGACCUCAAGUCAGUUAUACGCCCUCGAGACCCCGAAGCACAACUACAAAAGUGACUCCACCAAAUUUCUGACUCCACGAAAGCCGUAAAACAAACUGGGAUUAGAUACCCCACUAUGUACGGUUGUUAAAAUUGAUGGUCCUAUACACUGACCAUCCGCCUGGGAAUUACGAGCAACAGCUUAAAACCCAAAGGAUUUGGCGGUGCUUUAAACCCCCCUAGAGGAGCCUGUUCUUUAACUGAUAAUCCCCGUUAAACCUCACCAUCCCUUGUUUAAUCCGCCUAUAUACCACCGUCGUAAGCUUACCCUGUGAAGGCAUAACAGUUAGCGUAGAUGGCAAAGCCAAGAACGUCAGGUCGAGGUGUAGCGAAUGAGAUGGGAAGAAAUGGGCUACAUUCUCUAUUUAAGAGAAUACGAAUGGUCAAUUUGAAAAAAUUACCUGAAGGAGGAUUUAGUAGUAAGUAGAGAAUAGAGUGCCCUACUGAAAACGGCCCUGAAGCACGCACAUACCGCCCGUCACUCUCUCCGAAUAACCCUUUAAUAAUACCUAAUAUGUUUUACUAUAAAAGGAGAGGCAAGUCGUAACAUGGUAAGCGUACCGGAA